UACGGAGGGGGCUAGCGUUGUUCGGAAUUACUGGGCGUAAAGCGCACGUAGGCGGCGAUUUAAGUCAGAGGUGAAAGCCCGGGGCUCAACCCCGGAACUGCCUUUGAGACUGGAUUGCUUGAACAUCGGAGAGGUGAGUGGAAUUCCGAGUGUAGAGGUGAAAUUCGUAGAUAUUCGGAAGAACACCAGUGGCGAAGGCGGCUCACUGGACGAUUGUUGACGCUGAGGUGCGAAAGCGUGGGGAGCAAACAGG
rnacentral:rRNA from 1 species